rnacentral:rRNA from 1 species
CCUACGGGAGGCAGCAGUGGGGAAUAUUGCACAAUGGGGGAAACCCUGAUGCAGCGACGCCGCGUGAAGGAAGAAGUAUUUCGGUAUGUAAACUUCUAUCAGCCGGGAAGCAAAUGACCGUACCUGACUAAGAAGCCCAGGCUAACUACGUGCCAGCAGCCGCGGUAAUACGUAGGGGGCAAGCGUUAUCCGGAUUUACUGGGUGUAAAGGGAGCGUAGGCGGUUUAGCAAGUCAGAAGUGAAAGCCCGGGGCUCAACUCCGGGACCGCUUUUGAAACUGUUGAACUAGGUUGCAGGAGAGGUAAGUGGAAUUCCUAGUGUAGCGGUGAAAUGCGUAGAUAUUAGGAGGAACACCAGUGGCGAAGGCGGCUUACUGGACCGAGAAUGACGCUGAGGCUCGAAAGCGUGGGGAGCGAACAGGAUUAGAUACCCCGGUAGUC